UACGUAGGGUGCAGGCGUUAAUCGGAAUUACUGGGCGUAAAGCGUGCGCAGGCGGUUUGCUAAGACAGGUGUGAAAUCCCCGGGCUUAACCUGGGAACUGCGCUUGUAACUGGCAAGCUAGAGUGUGGCAGAGGGGGGUGGAAUUCCACGUGUAGCAGUGAAAUGCGUAGAGAUGUGGAGGAACACCGAUGGCGAAGGCAGCCCCCUGGGCUAACACCGACGCUCAUGCACGAAAGCGUGGGGAGCAAACAGG
rnacentral:rRNA from 1 species